GGCAGUGUGGCAUAGUGGUAAGGAGCAGGGCUCGUAACCGAAGGGUUGCUGGUCGAUUCCCAACUGCUGCUG